AGAUAUUUCUAUCUGGGGGGGGGGAGGGGGGUAUGUGAUUCACUAAUAGAUUGUCUGAUACAUUGACAUAUCACUCCUACCCCUUCCCUAGUACAGUUCCUCACCAUAUAUAACAGAGUCUCCAAGAUUUAUAUAUGGGGGGGUGAGCACCCCCUAGAGACGCCAGUGUACUAUAACAGCCUCCUCUGUCCCUACUAAAACGAUACCUCCCUCUCUAGAAGAGAGACUAAUAACAAAAUAGACCUCUAUUUUAUAUUAUACCUUAAGGCACAAAAAGUAGCCAAGUCAUUUGCCAGAAUAAGUCAAUUUUCAUUGUGGUCAGUAAGC